rfam:Populus trichocarpa scaffold_17_contig_53, whole genome shotgun sequence.
GCUGAGCUCAGCAACGUGAGUUUGUAACCCGAGUGGGGGCUUUAAUGUGGUGGGACGUUGACCAUGCUUAUAAGGUCGGGUCCAGUGCGGCUGUUAUCUGGCCCGCCCGUUCCAAGCCAGGAGUUGAACCAAGGCAUCUUAGUGAAGACCUGGGUGUCUCAGCUCUUAGAGUGGAGGGCAUAGCGUGAGGCUGGUCUCACAGAGCAGCGAUCACCUCUCGCUCCUGGCAGUGGAAGGAUAACGGGUCGGUGCCAUCUGGAUCCGCAUGGUCUGAUGGGCUGGUCCUAAUUGAACCAUCACUUUU